GACUCCCCAAAACAAAACUCUUUCGAGUUAGUGGAUUGAAAAUUUGAAUCUUGAUCUUAAAAUUUUCAAAAUCUCACUCUCUCUCCACAAGAACUGCCAUCAAUCACAUAUUUCAUCUCCCCCACCAUGUAUUGUCGCAUUCUCCGCCACAUACAACGACUUCGUCACUCACCACUUGCUCCACCGGUGUCGCUUUCUUCGCUUCCACAUAUGUACAACUGAUCAAAUUUGGUCACUUAUGGACGACAACUCACCAUCUCCAUCUUACUACCGCCUUCAUCUGUCACUACCAUCCACCGGAGUCGCCUUUUCCGAUUCCACCAUGACUCCCUCUAUUUCUUCUUCUAUAUAUGUAAGUAACUUAACCACCACGAACCAUUUAUUUGAUGCUCUCUUUCUCUGCUGUAGAAACUAGAAAGAUACAUAGGAAAGACACAAUUCGUCAUCGCCACCGUUGUAGAAUACAACAUCUGGCGAUUAUAUAUCUUCCCCAGUCGAUCUACACACGGGAUUUUGUCGUUUGUUAGAUUCAAAUCGGACAUAGGAUUGACGUUUCAAACAUUCAAAUCGAACAGAAUCAUAGAAAGAGGAAAUAAAAGAAACUUGGCGACCAAACCUAAAGCCUGACCAUCAGGGUUUGCUUUUGAUUUUUGGAUUUCUUUCUGCGUUUCUGCAGACAAAGCUGGGUGAAGACAUAUCUGGGGGAGACGGAUUUGGGAGAUGAUCAAUUAUAGAAUCUGGGUCACAAAAUGAUCGUUUGAAAAAUCAUUUGUAUGCUCCUAACACGACAGUCUUUGCUCAUGGAGUCGUCGAGUAACAAAUUUGAAUGAAUAGAACCCCAAUCAUAUCUUUUGCUACCAUAAUGGAUGAACCUGGUAAAAUAAAGAAAAAGAUUCAAGUUGUGGCUCAGUUGUUGGAGCAACUGAUUUGGAAAAGAAUGUAACCUGGUGCUUUGACUUGAAUAAUUUUUGUCAGAUAAAUUGUAAAAAGGUGGCAGCAAAAAACCAUUUUAAGAAAAAACGCCUUGACUUUGGCUCCAAAUGAGUUUUUUAAUCAAGUCAAGUCUGAGUUUUUGAAGCAAGUCAGGUCUGGUCGAUCUAUCAAUACUUUUUUGGUACUAUGGUUUGUUCUGAAUCAAAGCAAGGUAAUAAUUUAAAUUAGUAAAGUUGUUGACAACAUCUAUAAGGUUUAAUGAUGUUAGCUUUUAGGGAUUUUUUUGAUAAAAGUACCAUCUUCAAAUGAGCACCCUUAUGGCACCAGGAAGGUCUAAUGGUUAGAUAAAAAUAUAAAGAAACAAAGCACAAAAGACACUUGGUAGCUCAACAUCUGUUUUGGUGGUAGGGGUUUCAUUUACUAUUUUUUUUUAGCAUCCACAAAUCCAAUGACAUCAUGAUAUAAGGAGUCGAGUUUGUGGUUUUAACACUUGUAUAGACUUGAUAUCUAUCUUACUUUAAAUUGUUUGCUUGUAGGAGCUGAGUUUGUCAAAAAAAAUGUAAAAGAUCAUCUUAAGCCCUAUACAGGAUGACUUAUGGACUUUGGAAAUGCGGCUGCUUGAGGUCUAAUGUAUACAUCCCUGGAGUGAUGGAUCUUAUGGAGAUCCAAGGUUUAUGGCUUUUGAAUACUUGAAUUCUUCACUUCAUGGAUUCUUCUUUUUGUGUGCGAGUUUCCUAAUUGUUUGGUUUUGGAGGAAAAUUCAGUAUCUUAUUUUGGUGUUUUAA